rnacentral:lncRNA from 1 species
UGUAAAAGUGUGACUAAUAAGAAGUAGAAGAUAUAUGAGAGAAGAAAAGGUACUUCACAUUCGGAACAUGAAUAAAAUAUAGAUCUCUACGAAAGCAGAUAGUACUUACUUCCUCAUAAGAACUACCAAAGAAAUUGGAAAAACCAAAGAUUGUCUUUACAUUCCAAUUUUAAGGAACUUAAUUCCGUCACUAUUGUAGAGAUAGAUGAAUGUUUUGUUUGACAAAACAUUGUUCUUUAUUAAUCAAUGAUUGGAUUAUAGUAAUCUAAUUGAUUGUCUCUAUAGUAGAGAUGAUAUGGUAGUGUUAACUGUUUAGAAUAUAAUGAUGCUUAAAACCCAAAAGGUUGCAAUGUAGUGACUAAUCCCAACUAACGUUGUGAUACCUCUAAAACAUAAAUUACGAGUUGGUCAUAGAUGGAUGCUUUGGAUCGUUAGAUCCGGAUCCAAUACCUUCUUGUUAAAAUUGUAUAGAGGCGAAAUGUUCGAAUCUUUAUUCUUUUGGAAAGAAUAAAGAAUCACAAAGUUGUUGAGGUUAAUUCACUUAGAUGUUAGUGGAACUUGUCCACAACAUAAUACUACUCAUGUUGUAUGACAUUCACCGAAGAUCACCCUCGGUUGGACUAUAGUUUAUUUUAAAUAAACACAAGUCCGAAUACUUUGCAAAAGGUUUCAAAGAAUUCAAGAAAUGUAAGUUGAUGAGUAAGACGUCUAAAAUAUUUACCUCCUUAGAUUUGAUCCAAGGAAAAGAAACACUUUAGAUGAGUCUCCUUGAAAAAUAUCAAGGAAAGAAGCAUCAUAAGAUAAUAAAUUUCUCCAUUAAGGAGAAGAACGAACUCGAAUAAGAUUUAGUUCGUUAGAUGUUAUCUAUUACCCAUAUAUAGGAUAUAUACUUCUAAAACAAUAUGAUUGUCAAUUAGAAGAUCUUCCAAAUUUUUCAUGACUCUAUAAGAUGUAGUUGGAAAGAAAGACAAAUCUCAAGCAUGUUAAGAUUUGGGGUUGUGAGCUAAUAAGCAAUA